rnacentral:misc_RNA from 1 species
UCACGUCUUACGACGGCAGUUUCACUAGAGUUCCCAGCGUUACCUGAUGGCAACUAGUGAUGGGGGUUGCGCUCGUUGCGGGACUUAACCCAACACCUCACGGCACGAGCUGACGACAGCCAUGCAGCACCUCGACUGGACCCCCUUGCGGGGUAACGAUGUUUCCACCGCCGUUGACCAGCCGUUCGAGCCCAGGUAAGGUUCUUCGCGUUGCGUCGAAUUGAACCACAUGCUCCACCGCUUGUGCGGGCCCCCGUCAAUUCCUUUGAGUUUCAGUCUUGCGACCGUACUCCCCAGGCGGGGUACUUACUGCGUUAGCGACGGCACCGAGAGGGUCGCUCCCCCCGACGCCUAGUACCCAUCGUUUACGGCGUGGACUAC